GGACUACCCGGGUUUCUAAUCCUGUUUGCUCCCCAAGCUUUCGCGCCUGAGCGUCAGCAGUCGGCCAGGGCACUGCCUUCGCCAUUGGUGUUCCUCCGGAUCUCUACGCAUUUCACCGCUCCACCCGGAAUUCCAUGCCCCUCUCCGACGCUCAAGCCUGAUCGUUUUGACAGACCUCUCCGAGUUUAGCUCGGAGCUUUCACUGCCAACGCACCAGGCCGCCUGCGCGCCCUUUACGCCCAGUAACUCCGGACAACGCUCGCCUCCUACGUAUUACCGCGGCGGCUGGCAC
rnacentral:rRNA from 1 species